GACGAACGCUGGCGGCGUGCUUAACACAUGCAAGUCGAACGCUGAAGCUCAGCUUUUGUUGGGUGGAUGAGUGGCGAACGGGUGAGUAACACGUGAGUAACCUGCCCCCUUCUUUGGGAUAACGCCCGGAAACGGGUGCUAAUACUGGAUAUUCACUGGUCUUCGCCUGGGGGUUAGUGGAAAGGGUUUUUCUGGUGGGGGAUGGGCUCGCGGCCUAUCGGCUUGUUGGUGGGGUGAUGGCCUACCAAGGCUUUGACGGGUAGCCGGCCUGAGAGGGUGACCGGUCACAUUGGGACUGAGAUACGUCCCAGACUCCGCCGCGGGGCGGCAUUGGGGAAUAUUGCACAAAGGGCGCAAGACUGAUGCAGCGACGCCGCGUGAGGGAUGGGGGCCUUCGGGUUGUGAACCUCUUUCGCUCAUGGUCAAGCCGCAACAAUGGUUGUGGUGAGGGUAGUGGGUAAAGAAGCGCCGGCUAACUACGUG
rnacentral:rRNA from 1 species